rnacentral:rRNA from 1 species
AGUGAACGCUGGCGGCAGGCCUAACACAUGCAAGUCGAACGGCAGCACAGUAAGAGCUUGCUCUUACGGGUGGCGAGUGGCGGACGGGUGAGGAAUACAUCGGAAUCUACUUUUUCGUGGGGGAAAACGUAGGGAAACGUACGCUAAUACCGCAUACGACCUACGGGUGAAAGCAGGGGAUCUUGCAACCUUGCGCGAGUGAAGCAGCCGAUGCCGGAUUAGCUAGUUGGCGGGGUAAAGGCCCACCAAGGCGACGAUCCGUAGCUGGUCUGAGAGGAUGAUCAGCCACACUGGAACUGAGACACGGUCCAGACUCCUACGGGAGGCAGCAGUGGGGAAUAUUGGACAAUGGGCGAAAGCCUGCUCCAGCCAUGCCGCGUGAGUGAAGAAGGCCUUCGGGUUGUAAAGCUCUUUUGUUGGGAAAGAAAAGCAGCAGGUUAAUAACCGGCUGUUCUGACGGUACCCAAAGAAUAAGCACCGGCUAACUUCGUG